rnacentral:rRNA from 1 species
UACGUAGGGAGCGAGCGUUGGCCGGAUUUAUUGGGCGUAAAGAGCUCGUAGGCGGUUUGUCGCGUCGGCCGUGAAAUCUCCACGCUUAACGUGGAGCGUGCGGUCGAUACGGGCAGACUUGAGUUCGGUAGGGGAGACUGGAAUUCCUGGUGUAGCGGUGAAAUGCGCAGAUAUCAGGAGGAACACCGGUGGCGAAGGCGGGUCUCUGGGCCGAUACUGACGCUGAGGAGCGAAAUCGUGGGGAGCGAACAGG